ACUUAAUUCUAAAGAAUCAAAUACAAUGGGAAAUUGGGUAUAUUUAAAAUGUAAAGUUGCAUGCUACUUCAGAACGAUUUUGCUUUUAAUAUGCAAUGUGACUGGAAACAGCUUAACCAUCAACAAAAAUGGUAAGCAAUGUAGAAUCUAAUUUUUCAGUUCAAAACUUAAUUAGCAAUUUUAAAAGGUUAACGCCAGCGCCUGAGACUGUUUUUUGUUUAAUAAUCCUAUUACUGAUGGCUCAUCAUGUAUAAAAUGGUGCGGUAUGAUGCAAAAAUCCCACAUUUGUUUAUGUGUGGAUUGUAACAGAAAUAUAUUACAUAUUCUACAUGGAGGAAAAAAAUAACUCAGACUAUAAUCGUUUACCGUUCAGUCUGAACAAUGCAAACAUUGAUGCACAGUUGGAGUUUCACUGCUGGGGAUCGUUGGUGCCGUUUUAGGCGCCUUUAGAUUUCAUCAAUCAAACUGACUGCAAUUUUCCAUAAAAAUGCUGAAUUUGGGUCAGAAUCUGGGCAAAGCAGAUAAAGAUCAUUGAAGCUGUCUUGUGAGAUGAUAAAUGGAGCCCCUUUCAGGCAAAUAAAACAAGAGUUUUAGUUUGGUUUC